GACGAACGCUGGCGGCGUGCUUAACACAUGCAAGUCGAACGGAAAGGCCCUGCUUUUGUGGGGUGCUCGAGUGGCGAACGGGUGAGUAACACGUGAGUAACCUGCCCUUGACUUUGGGAUAACUUCAGGAAACUGGGGCUAAUACCGGAUAGGAGCUCCUGCUGCAUGGUGGGGGUUGGAAAGUUUCGGCGGUUGGGGAUGGACUCGCGGCUUAUCAGCUUGUGGGUGGGGUAGUGGCUUACCAAGGCUUUGACGGGUAGCCGGCCUGAGAGGGUGACCGGCCACAUUGGGACUGAGAUACAGCCCAGACUCCUACGGGAGGCAGCAGUGGGGAAUAUUGCACAAUGGGCUGAAGCCUGAUGCAGCAACGCCGCGUGCGGGAUGACGGCCUUCGGGUUGUAAACCGCUUUCGCCUGUGACGAAGCGGAAGUGACGGUAAUGGGUAAAGAAGCACCGGCUAACUACGUG
rnacentral:rRNA from 1 species